rnacentral:rRNA from 1 species
CCAAUAGCGUAUAUUAAAGUUGUUGCAGUUAAAAAGCUCGUAGUUGAAUUUCGGGACCAAUAUGUCGGUCGUGCUUCGGUACGUACUUGCAUUAUUGGUUUCUCCCUUCUGCAGAACCAUGAUGUCAUUAAUUUGGUGUCUUGGGGAAUCAGGACUGUUACUUUGAAAAAAUUAGAGUGUUUAAAGCAGGCAUACGCUUGAAUACAUUAGCAUGGAAUAAUGAAAUAGGACGUUUGAUUCUAUUUUGUUGGUUUCUAGGAUCGACGUAAUGAUUAAUAGGGAUAGUUGGGGGCAUUAGUAUUCAAUUGUCAGAGGUGAAAUUCUUGGAUUUAUUGAAGACUAACUACUGCGAAAGCAUUUGCCAAGGAUGUUUUCAUUAAUCAAGAACGAAAGUUAGGGGAUCGAAGACGAUCAGAUACCGUCGUAGUCUUAACCAUAAACUAUGCCGACUAGGGAUCGGAUGAUGUUAUUUUUGAUGACUCAUUCGGCGCCUUACG